rnacentral:rRNA from 1 species
GCUACGGGUGGCUGCAGUGGGGAAUAUUGCGCAAUGGGCGAAAGCCUGACGCAGCGACGCCGCGUGAGGGAUGAAGGUCUUCGGAUCGUAUACCUCUGUCAGCAGGGAAGAACGGUCACUGUGCUAAUCAGCAGUGAAUUGACGGUACCUGCAAAGGAAGCACCGGCUAACUCCGUGCCAGCAGCCGCGGUAAGACGGAGGGUGCGAGCGUUAAUCGGAAUUACUGGGCGUAAAGCGCUCGUAGGCGGGAUGUCAAUUCAAGGGUGAAAUCCCCGCGCUCAACGUGGGAACUGCCUUUGAAACUGUCGAAUGGGAGUGUGUGAGAGGAUAGUGAAAUUCCAGGUGUAGGAGUGAAAUCAGUAGAUAUCUGGAGGAACAUCAGUGGCGAAGGCGACGAUCUGGCACAUAACUGACGCUGAGGAGCGAAAGCGUGGGUAGCAAACAGGAUUAGAUACCCUGGUAGUC